GGAUUAGAAACCCGGGUAGUCCACGCUGUAAACGAUGUGUGCUGGAUGUUGGGUAACUUAGUUACUCAGUGUCGUAGCUAACGCGAUAAGCACACCGCCUGGGGAGUACGGCCGAGAUAGGAAGUUCCUUCGGGACACGGGAUACAGGUGGUGCAUGGUUGUCGUCAGCUCGUGUCGUGAGAUGUUGGGUUAAGUCCCGCAACGAGCGCAACCCCUAUUGUUAGUUGCCAUCAUUAAGUUGGGCACUCUAACGAGACUGCCGGUGAUAAACCGGAGGAAGGUGGGGAUGACGUCAAAUCAUCAUGCCCCUUAUGACCUGGGCUACACACGUGCUACAAUGGAUGGUACAACGAGUCGCGAGACAGUGAUGUUUAGCUAAUCUCUUAAAACC
rnacentral:rRNA from 1 species